rnacentral:lncRNA from 1 species
CUGUGAGCUACUGCUCACUGAUGAUACCCCCGCCGCAAGUGGAUAAUAUUAAUAGUGUAAAAAUAUGCAAGUGUUCGGUAAACAGGAAGUUGUCGAGUGAUGAAUCUGAAAACGCAUCACACGGUAUAGCUGACUUAUAAAAAUCCUGAAACCAAAUUUCAGAAAUCCUUGUAUUGUAGUUCCUCAGAAAAAUGUGACGAAAAUUUUUAACUUGGUUAUCAUGUGUAAAAUCAUACAAGUGUUCGGUAAACAGGAAGUUGUCGAGUGAUGAAUCUGAAAACGCAUCACACGGUAUAGCUGACUUAUAUAAAUCCUGAAACCAAAUUUCAGAAAUCCUUGUAUUGUAGUUCCUGAGAAAAAUGUGACUAAAAUUUUCAACUUGGUUAUCAUGUGUAAAAUCAUACAAGUGUUCGGUAAACAGGAAGUUGUCGAGUGAUGAAUCUGAAAACGCAUCACACGGUAUAGCUGACUUAUAUAAAUUC